rnacentral:rRNA from 1 species
UACGGAGGGGGCAAGCGUUAUCCGGAUUCACUGGGUUUAAAGGGUGCGUAGGUGGGUUGGUAAGUCAGUGGUGAAAUCUCCGAGCUUAACUUGGAAACUGCCAUUGAUACUAUCAGUCUUGAAUAUUGUGGAGGUCAGCGGAAUAUGUCAUGUAGCGGUGAAAUGCUUAGAUAUGACAUAGAACACCAAUUGCGAAGGCAGCUGGCUACUCAUAUAUUGACACUGAGGCACGAAAGCGUGGGGAUCAAACAGG